UACAGAGGUGGCAAGCGUUGUUCGGAAUUACUGGGCGUAAAGGGCGCGUAGGCGGCCAUCUAAGUCAGACGUGAAAUCCCCCGGCUUAACCUGGGAACUGCGUCUGAUACUGGACGGCUCGAGUUUGGGAGAGGGAUGUGGAAUUCCAGGUGUAGCGGUGAAAUGCGUAGAUAUCUGGAGGAACACCGGUGGCGAAGGCGGCACGCUGGACCAACACUGACGCUGAGGCGCGAAAGCCAGGGGAGCGAACGGG
rnacentral:rRNA from 1 species